rnacentral:rRNA from 1 species
AUGCAGUUCGAGCGGAGAGAGGUAGCUUGCUACUGAUCUUAGCGGCGGACGGGUGAGUAAUGCUUAGGAAUCUGCCUAUUAGUGGGGGACAACAUUUCGAAAGGAAUGCUAAUACCGCAUACGUCCUACGGGAGAAAGCAGGGGAUCUUCGGACCUUGCGCUAAUAGAUGAGCCUAAGUCGGAUUAGCUAGUUGGUGGGGUAAAGGCCUACCAAGGCGACGAUCUGUAGCGGGUCUGAGAGGAUGAUCCGCCACACUGGGACUGAGACACGGCCCAGACUCCUACGGGAGGCAGCAGUGGGGAAUAUUGGACAAUGGGCGCAAGCCUGAUCCAGCCAUGCCGCGUGUGUGAAGAAGGCCUUAUGGUUGUAAAGCACUUUAAGCGAGGAGGAGGCUACUUUAGUUAAUACCUAGAGAUAGUGGACGUUACUCGCAGAAUAAGCACCGGCUAACUCUGUGCCAGCAGCCGCGGUAAUACAGAGGGUGCAAGCGUUAAUCGGAUUUACUGGGCGUAAAGCGCGCGUAGGCGGCUAAUUAAGUCAAAUGUGAAAUCCCCGAGCUUAACUUGGGAAUUGCAUUCGAUACUGGUUAGCUAGAGUGUGGGAGAGGAUGGUAGAAUUCCAGGUGUAGCGGUGAAAUGCGUAGAGAUCUGGAGGAAUACCGAUGGCGAAGGCAGCCAUCUGGCCUAACACUGACGCUGAGGUGCGAAAGCAUGGGGAGCAAACAGGAUUAGAUACCCUGGUAGUCCAUGCCGUAAACGAUGUCUACUAGCCGUUGGGGCCUUUGAGGCUUUAGUGGC